AUCCAAACAGGAAGCAGAGAGUCUUCCCAUAUCCAAAGCACUGGAAGCAGCUAAAAGUCUUUGUACUGUUGCACGAUUAGCAUUUAUUCUCUUCUUCUUAUUGCUUCUCUCCAGAGCAGGAUGUAUGUUGCUUCAGUUCUCACAACAGUCUUUUGAGUUAUGCCACAUCUUACUCUAUUGAAGAUGCGGCCAUGAAACAUGGAAACGUGCUGAAGAUUGCAUAACUGAAG
rnacentral:misc_RNA from 1 species